GGCCUAGUGGCUCAGUUGGUUAGAGCGCCGCCCUGUCACGGCGGAGGUCGUCGGUUCGAGUCCGAUCUGGGUCG
rfam:Acetivibrio ethanolgignens strain ACET-33324 ACET-33324.Scaf81, whole genome shotgun sequence.